rnacentral:pre_miRNA from 1 species
AAGCUAUGAUUGCCUUUUAAGGCAAGCUUGACUUUUGUGCUUAUAGAAAUGCAAAUGCCAAGCUUGUCUUAAAAGACAAUGACAGUUUAAUAUUCUC